rnacentral:sRNA from 1 species
ACACCAUGAAACCAGGCGGUCAAUGUCGU